rnacentral:rRNA from 1 species
UACGGGGGGGGCAAGCGUUGUUCGGAAUUACUGGGCGUAAAGGGCUCGUAGGCGGCCAACUAAGUCAGACGUGAAAUCCCUCGGCUUAACCGGGGAACUGCGUCUGAUACUGGAUGGCUUGAGUGUGGGAGAGGGAUGCGGAAUUCCAGGUGUAGCGGUGAAAUGCGUAGAUAUCUGGAGGAACACCGGUGGCGAAGGCGGCAUCCUGGACCGGCAUUGACGCUGAGGAGCGAAAGCCAGGGGAGCAAACGGG